rnacentral:rRNA from 1 species
UACGUAGGGGGCAAGCGUUGUCCGGAAUCAUUGGGCGUAAAGAGCGUGUAGGCGGUCCAGUAAGUCGGCUGUGAAAGUCCAGGGCUCAACCCUGGGAUGCCGGUCGAUACUGCCGGACUAGAGUUCGGAAGAGGCGAGUGGAAUUCCCGGUGUAGCGGUGAAAUGCGCAGAUAUCGGGAGGAACACCUAUGGCGAAGGCAGCUCGCUGGGACGUUACUGACGCUGAGACGCGAAAGCGUGGGGAGCAAACAGG